GACGAACGCUGGCGGCGUGCUUAACACAUGCAAGUCGAACGGAAAGGCCCUGCUUUUGUGGGGUGCUCGAGUGGCGAACGGGUGAGUAACACGUGAGUAACCUGCCCUUGACUUUGGGAUAACUUCAGGAAACUGGGGCUAAUACCGGAUAGGAGCUCCUGCUGCAUGGUGGGGGUUGGAAAGUUUCGGCGGUUGGGGAUGGACUCGCGGCUUAUCAGCUUGUUGGUGGGGUAGCGGCUUACCAAGGCUUUGACGGGUAGCCGGCCUGAGAGGGUGACCGGCCACAUUGGGACUGAGAUACGGCCCAGACUCCUACGGGAGGCAGCAGUGGGGAAUAUUGCACAAUGGGCGGAAGCCUGAUGCAGCAACGCCGCGUGCGGGAUGACGGCCUUCGGGUUGUAAACCGCUUUCGCCUGUGACGAAGCGGGAGUGACGGUAAUGGGUAAAGAAGCACCGGCUAACUACGUG
rnacentral:rRNA from 1 species